rnacentral:rRNA from 1 species
UACGAAGGGGGGCUAGCGUUGCUCGGAAUCACUGGGCGUAAAGGGUGCGUAGGCGGGUCUUUUAAGUCAGGGGGUGAAAUCCUGGAGCUCAACUCCAGAACUGCCUUUGAUACUGAAGAUCUUGAGUUCGGGAGAGGUGAGUGGAACUGCGAGUGUAGAGGUGAAAUUCGUAGAUAUUGGGAAGAACACCGGUGGCGAAGGCGGCGACCUGGUCCGAUACUGACGCUGAGGCGCGAAAGCGUGGGGAGCAAACAGG